AUGCUCUUGCAGGUGGUUGCUUUGAUGUUACUAAGUGGUUGCUAUGCUAUUGCAGGUGGUUGCUAUGGUGUUACUAAGUGGUUGCUAUGUUAGUGUAGGUGGUUGCUAUGCUAUUGCAGGUAGUUGCUAUGGUUCUACAAAGCGGUCUCUACAAAUGUUACAAAGUGGUUUCUAUUCUAUUGCAGGUGGUUGCUAUGGUGCUACUAAGCGGUCUAUAAAAUGUUACAAAGUGGUUUCUGUGCUAUUGCAGGUGGUUGCUAUGCAAUUUCAGGUGGUUGCUAUGGUGUUAUUGUGUGGUUGCCAACAUCAAAAUUCCUACACAAACUUUAGCCUUCUUAUUUGUUUAUGCUAAUGAUAUGAAAAGGCAAAUUCAAAUACCUGCGUUGUGGCCUACACAUCUGACUACACAACACGUCUCACACUACAGAACAGUAGCUCACAAUUCUUAUCAUCUCUCCAACAAAAGUUUUGUUUCUAUACAUCAGUCCAGAAUUAUAAUUAAACGGAUGACCUUUAAAUCAGUUUUUAUCCAGCGCUUUACUUUGAAAAAGAACUUUUAGGUGAGAUCUUCAGUUUCUUGGAGGAAGCUUAAGGAAGGAAGAUGCUUCAGUUGUUCAUUGGACUGCAAAUGUUUAAAAUGAUCGAAUUUAAAAGAACUCACUGUGGCAAGAAGAAGCUGACAGCCAGGAUGGAUUUCACAAGCUGGGAGGGAAGAUUUCAAAACGAAUCAGUGAUGUUGAAGAGACGGUAUCACUGUGCUCUGCUUCACCUGAACACGAGCCGUUAUCUCAGCAGUGUGUGGAUGACCCAGUGCCAUUAAACGCUGUGGUCGUAUAUGAUGAGGAAUUCCACAUUACCAACCAACCACCCAUGACUGGGUUCAUACCUGAGGGAGAGACACACUCGGAAGACUACGAUCCCUUGAUGACAUCUUCAGCUGAACAGGAGGAGGAGAUGGAUGAAGUAUCAAGUUGCUUGAAGCUACAUUUUUGUUUUGGUUAAAUUAGAUAGAU